rnacentral:rRNA from 1 species
GAUGAACGCUGGCGGCGUGCCUAAUACAUGCAAGUCGAGCGAACAGAUAAGGAGCUUGCUCCUUUGACGUUAGCGGCGGACGGGUGAGUAACACGUGGGUAACCUACCUAUAAGACUGGGAUAACUUCGGGAAACCGGAGCUAAUACCGGAUAACAUUUGGAACCGCAUGGUUCUAAAGUGAAAGAUGGUUUUGCUAUCACUUAUAGAUGUACCCAGGCCGUAUUAGCUAGUUGGUAAGGUAACGGCUUACCAAGGCAACGAUACGUAGCCGACCUGAGAGGGUGAUCAGCCACACUGGAACUGAGACACGGUCCAGACUCCUACGGGAGGCAGCAGUAGGGAAUAUUGCGCAAUGGGCGAAAGCCUGACGGAGCAACGCCGCGUGAGUGAUGAAGGGUUUCGGAUCGUAAAACACUGUUAGUAGGGAAGAACAGAAGUGUAAGUAAAUGUGCACGUCUUGACGGUACCUAAUCAGAAAGCCACGGCUAACUACGUG